rnacentral:ncRNA from 1 species
UAAAAGACGUUGAUGGGAAAUAGUAGGAGACGCAUUUUUGUUCAGAAAGAUGGACCGUGGCUGUAAGUUCAUUCGUUAAAUGCAAUCUGAAUUCACUCCCGGAGUUGGCUUUGGGCGGAUCACAAAAAAAGUACCGGUAUCUACCGUUAUCAGGUUGAAGUUGUAGCGCUUUUUUGAAGUGCUAAAUUAGGGUGGUACCGCGAUGCCUCGUCCCUUUG